GGUUAGGUGACAAAUUAAACCUGGUUUACCAAGCAGAUAUACCGGUUUAAGACGGUUUAAACGCGGGAGAGAGUGUGAAUUUGAAUCACUCUAACUUUCCCACCUUGUACAGAGCACGCUUGCUUCCCAUGGCGUCGUCGUCACGAUCGUUGGCCUCUUCCUAUACCUUCGAUGACAAAGAUCUAGAAGACGCUGAUCUCUGGGCGGUUAUCGAUUCCGCCGCAGCUUCUCUCGCUCAGAAGAAUCCUACUACUACUAGUACUACCUCCUCCUCCGGGAAAUCUUCGAAACCACUCGCUGUUAGGUAUCCAAACUUCAAUUCCCCUCCGACGCCUGUUUCCAACGCUCCUCCGCCGUCUAAGCUUCUUCUCCAGGUCGCGAAUCAUAAUAACCCUAGGUCACACGAGGAGUCGCCGCGCCCGAGCAAAAUCGCCAGAUCUCGCGUCUUGUGCGAGGUGAACAGGGAGAGUAGUAGUAGUAGUCCGACGGCUCUCGUUACUACGACGUCGCAUCGGAGCUCGAAUCCGAUUAUCCAUUCCACGAAGUUUUCUUCGCCGGAGAGUUACUAUUCGCCUGGGAUCAGGCAGUCUACGGCCUUACCGGAAUCACCGCGUCCUAUGGCUCUUGUUACGACGGCGAACCGGGAUUUGACUCCGGUUAACCACUCUACGAAGUUUUCUUCGCCGGAGAGUUACUUGUCGCCUGGGAUAAGGCAGCAGCAGUCUACGUCCUUAUCGGAGGUUUUUUCUCCACCGUCGAGGAACGAUCCCGUUAACGAGAUGAGGCAUAGUUUGUCAGGGAGCUUUCCUUCAGCUGCUCUUUUCAAGGAGUACCAGAACACAGCUAUGGCGAUUCUAGAGAAAUCUGAUUACACGAUGAUCUCCGGGAAAGCAUAUAUUAAGAAGUCAGGUUGGAGGAAGAUAUCGUUUUACUUCAAUGUGUCUUACGAAAUAAGGGACAAGAACAUUGAGUUUGAUGAAAACAGAAACGUCCAGCGUGCUGAGUUCAUCGUCCGAGCUAUAAUGCAAGGAGGAAGAUUCGCUGAUGGAUGGGGCUCUUGUGAGCGACGUGAGAAGAAGUUUCUCAAACCAAAUCAUGAUAUCCCCAGUACCGCAGAGACCAGAGCCAAAAACAGAGCUUGCCAGGAUCUUCUAGGAAUCGGUGAAUACCGAGAAAGCUCUACUGGGUUUCCACGGUGAUCAGACGUCAUCAAAUGUGUUUCCCGACUUCAUCAGUACCAAGCUAAACAAUCAAAACAACCAAACCAAGAUCGAUAAGAACCUAUAUACACCAACACCUGCAUGGGAAAAAGUGGCUUAUAAAUUCAUACCACCUCCAUAUCGUUAGCAGCAACUAGCAAGAUUGCAACAUGCUAAUCCAUAAGGUAAUCUGAUGCAUCUCCAUAUCAUUGCGGUUUAACGAUUAAAGCAAAUAGAUUGUUGUUGUGGUAGUUCCGCAUUUCUGGUAUAUAAUUUUAAUAAAUGCGAUUGAUAAGAAAAUUAAAAGCCGUAUAAGAAGAGGGAAUUAAUAUUCAGAUUUCAAUUCAUUUUAAAAUGAUUUUUGUGUGGCACAGAAAGUUGGAUCCAUCAAUGAAAAUACAAUAGGUGUACAAGUACCAAGUAUAUGAUAGUGUAGGACCUUAAUGAUAAUGCUUUCAAAUUCCCUGACGAAGAGGAAACAAUGCUAACCAUGAAGCGUGCAGGCUUGUUAUAAAUGCUCUCUACUUGAACUGUUGUUGACGAGACUAAUGUUUUUUGAGAUUUCAUACGGCUUUCUUCUUCUUCUCUUGUCUCAUUCCAUAAUCAAUUUUUUUGAUUUAUCAUUCACACAUUACCUUU